GGAUGCCUUGGCACUAGGAGCCGAUGAAGGACGUGAUAAGCUGCGAUAAGCUUCGGGGAGUUGCACGUAAACUUUGAUCCGAAGAUUUCCGAAUGAGGAAACUCACUUAGAGUAAUGUCUAAGUAUCAUUAAGUGAAUACAUAGCUUAAUGAGGGGAACUCAGGGAACUGAAACAUCUAAGUACCUGAAGGAAGAGAAAGAAAUUCGAUUCCGUAAGUAGCGGCGAGCGAAAGCGGAUUAGCCCAAACCAAUAAAGUUUUCUUUAUUGGGGUUGCGGAC
rnacentral:rRNA from 1 species